CGUUUCAUGCUCUCUCUCUCUUCCUCUCUCUCUUUAUCCUCUUCCUUUCUCUCUUUCUCUUUUUUCUUUCCUUUCUCUGUUUAGAUCUAAGAUUUGUUUGAAGUUAAUUAGAUCUAUUUCCAUCUCCACCAUCGUCUUCUUCUCUUCUAUAUCACUAUUGUGGAUCAAAAAAUUCAGAUCUAUAAAUUUUGAUAUCCUCAAGAAUAGAUCUUUUAGUUUUCCUAUCUAAAUCAAGUUCAUUCUCCCAUCUAAAUUGACGAUUCACUGGUUUUAAUUUUGUUUUUAAUUGGUUAUUCAAUUUCGAUAUUAUGCAUAUUAAAUGUUUGUUGUCUACGAGAGAAAAAAGAAGACAAAGAUGUCUACUAGAAAACUGAAGACGAAGAAAAAGAUGUCUACGAGGAAACUGAAGAUACAGAGAAGAAGAUGUUUAUGAGGAAACCAAAGAUGUUGUGGACAAUAUCAUUGAUCUGAAUCUGAAAUGUUGUCUACUUAAGUAAUAGACUAAUAGAAAUCUGAUUACAUUUUUUUGUUCAUGCUUUUAUUACUUUAAAAAUAUUGUCCAUUUACCAGAUUAAAAAUUUCAAGCAAACGUUAUCGACGAUUAUUGGUCCAAGAUGUAUAUAUAUGGUUUUUUUUGUCCA